CCACGCCGGUUCGCUGGUGGAUUUGUAGUUCGAGCUCGAAGUUUGCCGGAGAUGGCACCUCAGGUUCCGAUGCUCGCUGGUGUGUUGUUGCUACGUACCGGAGAUGGAGCCACACCGGACGACGGGAUACCUGCAAAAUAAAGAAAAAAAAUGUGAAGGGGAAAGAGGGAAAGGGACUGGACGCGUUUUGGUGUCAUUUCCGGUGACUAUUACACCGGAAGAGGGAGAAUUCGAAGAGGGGUUUGGUCUGGUUGUUGUGGGUCUGGCGUGAGGCGAAGGUUUGAGGUUGUUUUCGGUUGUUGUUUCGUCGGAAAUGGCAACAGGAAAAGGAAGACACCGCUUGUUCGAUGGUAAUGGGUUUUGGUGGCGUUACAGCAACAUUGGUUGCUGGGUUUUUGGGGUCAUUUCGAGUGACUUUUUCACCGGAAAAUGGAGAAAAACGAAGGGGUUUUGGGUUUGGUUCGUGAAAACUCCAUUAAUGGAGGUUGAGAACAUACAGAAUUACAGAGAGAAGAACAGAAUAGAAGAGAAGAGAAGAGAAGAGAAGAGAGCAUCGUAUUGAGUUCAAUGAAUUUUCUGUUACAUUGAAAGUUCGCCUUUACAUUGUAGUUCAAUAUCUAGUUAUAGACUAUAGUAUUGUAAUUACUUUCUUAACCAACUACAGAAGCUUCUAGAACUUCCCUAACAACUUCAACUAACUCACACCAUAUAGCUUGUUGAAUCUCCUAAGCUGAUCAACACUCCCCCUCAAGCUUUAUGAUUGAAAUACAUUCUUCAUUCCAAAUUUGCUCAACAAGUUGGUGUGUUGCAUCUUGCCCAG
rnacentral:lncRNA from 1 species